rnacentral:lncRNA from 1 species
CCACCUCGAGUCCCACUCUCUCAGGGGAAGUCAGUGGCUUUGCCGGUCGCCAGUCCGGGGAGGGUCCCCCUUUGGCCCCGGCACCUUCUUUCGGUGCGCGCCCAUCGCCUCCUCCCCUGGGCCGAGCCCACGGGCCCCGGGCCCCCGGCGCUCUUCCCGGGCCUCGCCGGUGGCGGCGGAGCUGUCCCCGAGCUCCUCCUCGGCCGGCGAUCCGUCCCCGCACCGCCACCGCGGCCGCCAGGGUCUCCCCGCCGGCCUCAGCCCGGCCCCGCGGCGUCCACGUGGCCCGCAGAGCUACCUUCGGCGGCAGAAAGCCCCGCCGGGCCGGACCAGCCGAGGCCCGAGAGGGCGCGAGGACGCGGCGCGGGGCGGGCCGAGCGGAGGAAGGGGAGGGCCGUGCGCCCGGCGGCCGGGAGGCGGCCCCGCCCGUGGCCCCGCCCCGCUCCCGUUACUCUCGGGAAGGUUUCCGAGGCCGCUCCCAUCCUCACCCCACCUCCCGGCCCGGCACUGGCCUCGCCGCCGGAGCCCCACUAUGCCAGACGGUUUCGACACUUCGCAAAGACAAAGAGCCCCCGAGCAGAGCGAGGAGAGAGAGCAGGAAGGCGAGGACACAGAGGCGCCGGGGGCGAUGUGAGCCGCGGGGUCUUGCGAUGUUGGCUGCUGCAGUCUUGGCGUCUGUCUGGGAUCUUCCUGCUGAUGUCCAUUCACGGAACGCCACACCCUGGACUUCCUGGGCUCAUUGUACCUAAAUGAGACUUUGAGGCCACUGUUAGCAUAAGUACUGCCGCAGUUGAGAUGACUGAAGCUGGACAAGCUUCCCGUUGCCUGCAAGGCACCCCGGAUGCCCAUUCCACUUCCUUGGCUGGAAACGCCAGUGGCAGGCAGCCGGUAACUCUGAGGACUGUGCCGAGCAAAGGGACGAGUCUGCCUGGGGACCGGGGAUGGACAGCCCCUUGGCCUUCUGAGGGCCUGCCUGAGCUGUCCUGAGAGCCAAGCCAUCACUGUGUGCAGAACCUGGGGCGCAGCCAUCGCAGAGCCCCGGAGCCCCCAGCAGAUGUGCUUCCUUGUCCCUGCUCCCUGUACUGUCCUCUGGCUCCCUCCACCCACUCUGCACCAGGACACCGCUGUGCAACUUUGUCCACAGCUACCUCUGCCAGGCCCUGCUCUGACAGCAUCCUGCAUGGCC